UACGUAGGGUGCAAGCGUUGUCCGGAAUUAUUGGGCGUAAAGAGCUCGUAGGCGGUCUGUCGCGUCGGCUGUGAAAUCCCGAGGCUCAACCUCGGGUCUGCAGUCGAUACGGGCAGGCUCGAGUUCGGUAGGGGAGACUGGAAUUCCUGGUGUAGCGGUGAAAUGCGCAGAUAUCAGGAGGAACACCGAUGGCGAAGGCAGGUCUCUGGGCCGAUACUGACGCUGAGGCGCGAAAGCUAGGGGAGCAAACGGG
rnacentral:rRNA from 1 species